rnacentral:rRNA from 1 species
CCUACGGGUGGCAGCAGUGGGGGAUAUUGCUCAAUGGGGGAAACCCUGAACCAGCGAAGCCGCGUGAGGGAUGACGCGCCUACGGGCUGUAAGCCUCGUUUGCCGGGGAGCAAAUAACGGUACCUGACGCGUAAGCCCAGGCCAACUACGUCCCAGCAGCCGCGAGAAAGCGUCGGGGGCAAGCGUUCUACGGAUUUAGUGGGGGUAAAGGGGGCGCAGUGGGGGAUGCAAGCCCGGAGGUAAAACGCGGGGGCCAAACCCGGGACUGCUGUUGGAACCGCGUGGCUGGAGGGCAGGAGGGGCAGGCGGAAUGCGUGGUGUAGCGGUGAAAUGCGUAGAGAUCAGGAGGAACACCGAUGGCGAAGGCGGCCUGCUGGACUGCAACUGACGCUGAGGCCCGAAAGCGUGGGGAGCAAACAGGAUUAGAUACCCCUGUAGUC